AGAGUUUGAUCAUGGCUCAGGACGAACGCUGGCGGCGUGCCUAAUACAUGCAAGUCGAGCGAAUUGAUGGGAGCUUGCUCCCUGAGAUUAGCGGCGGACGGGUGAGUAACACGUGGGCAACCUGCCUAUAAGACUGGGAUAACUUCGGGAAACCGGAGCUAAUACCGGAUACGUUCUGUUCUCGCAUGAGAGAAGAUGGAAAGACGGUUUACGCUGUCACUUAUAGAUGGGCCCGCGGCGCAUUAGCUAGUUGGUGAGGUAAUGGCUCACCAAGGCGACGAUGCGUAGCCGACCUGAGAGGGUGAUCGGCCACACUGGGACUGAGACACGGCCCAGACUCCUACGGGAGGCAGCAGUAGGGAAUCUUCCGCAAUGGACGAAAGUCUGACGGAGCAACGCCGCGUGAACGAAGAAGGCCUUCGGGUCGUAAAGUUCUGUUGUUAGGGAAGAACAAGUACCAGAGUAACUGCUGGUACCUUGACGGUACCUAACCAGAAAGCCACGGCUAACUACGUACCAGCAGCCGCGAUAAUACGUAGGUGGCAAGCGUUGUCCGGAAUUAUUGGGCGUAAAGCGCGAGCAGGUGGUUCCUUAAGUCUGAUGUGAAAGCCCACGGCUCAACCG
rnacentral:rRNA from 1 species